AAAGAUGAGAGUCAGUUCCAGCCCUGU
rnacentral:piRNA from 1 species